AGUAGGCACAACGGCUCCUUCAGUCUCUGGGCCAUUCUCUUCAACUCCUUUGAAGGGUCAGAGGCCAGCAAAGAGACCUCGCAUUGAAUUUGAGGAGGUGGAAGAUGUUUCCUCUGCAUGCACUGAUCCUCAAGAUUCCACAUACGAUCCUGCACAGUCUGCUACAAUGGAGACAGAAUCAUCUCAGCUUUUUACAUCACCAGUGACUUCAUAUGGCGAUGCAAAAUACAUUGUUUUUGAGCAAUGCCUCUUCAGCCUGUUCGAGAUCUGCCCUGUGUGCACAAGAACCUGUACAUUCCUGCCACGCAGAAGAGGGUCCUUCCUAGCGAUCGACCAACUAUGCCCUCACUGCAAGUUCUUCCGACAGUGGAAGAGUCAGCCAGUUAUUGGGAGCACCCCUGUGGGCAACCUUCAGCUGUCUGCUGCCAUUUACUUUUGUGGAGCUUCAUUUUCAAAGAUGAAAAAGAUAUUUGAUGCAAUGCAGCUGAGAACACACACGUAUGAUGCCUUCAGAAGACAUUGUGUACAGAAAUGGGUUUUGUUUAGUGAAAGUGUGAGAUCAGGCCUAAUUGCCAGCCAUCAAAAUGCAAAUCAUUACAAUUUUAGGCUGCUCUAACUGAAAGGCACUUGUAACAACACCGGUUAGAGUACAGCUUUGGCACAGCCUACAGGUUUAGCCAAUGCUUUUGCUGUGAGUUAAUAGUAGUAUUUUGCUUGGUGUGUGCUUACAAAAGUGACAAGUGACAAUUGUUACAACAUUUCUGCUGUUUCAUUUAGGUUGUACCUUGCAGCUAUGCAUUUCAAUGAGAAUGCUCAGCGCCUACAACGGAAGACAGCCAAGGGGAAACUAAUGUACAGGCUUGUGUUUCCAAAGGCCAAAAGGGGAGGUUACACGGUGAAAAAAGUGAAGACAGAGCCAACGAUUUGCUAUGUCUUUAACCUGAUAAGACUGGUGUUCGAAGAGAUCGUCCAUGACUCCCUUCGUUAUGUGGAUGCCGUCCAGCAGAUUCCUGUGCCC